GAAAGCCGUGUGCAAUGAAAAAUGCAAGCACGGCUUGGGGAGAGAUUUUUACCUUUUUUUUUAUUUUCUAACAAGUAAAUUAUCUACUCCAU
rnacentral:ncRNA from 1 species